AUUUAUUUAGUAUAAAAAGUACACUUGAUUUCCAAUCAAAUAGUCUAUUAAUUAGAAUAAAUA
rnacentral:tRNA from 1 species